CUACUCAGUGGAAUAUGGAGGUACUUAUGGCAGAACGGGCCAAUCUGGUCUUUCACAAUAAAGUGAUAGAUGGAACUGCCAUGAAACGACUUAUUAGCAGAUUAAUAGAUCACUUCGGAAUGGCAUAUACAUCACACAUCUUGGAUCAAGUAAAGACUCUGGGUUUCCAGCAAGCCACUGCUACAUCUAUUUCAUUAGGAAUUGACGAUCUUUUAACAAUACCUUCGAAAGGAUGGCUAGUCCGGGAUGCUGAACAACAAAGUUUUAUUUUGGAAAAAAACCAUUAUUACGGGAAUGUACAUGCGGUAGAAAAAUUACGCCAAUCCAUUGAAAUAUGGUAUGCUACAAGUGAAUAUUUACGACAAGAAAUGAAUCCUAAUUUCAGGAUGACUGAUCCCUUUAAUCCAGUCCAUAUAAUGUCUUUUUCGGGAGCUAGAGGAAAUGUAUCUCAAGUACACCAAUUAGUAGGUAUGAGAGGAUUAAUGUCGGAUCCCCAAGGACAAAUGAUUGAUUUACCCAUUCAAAGCAAUUUACGCGAAGGACUCUCUUUAACGGAAUAUAUCAUUUCUUGCUACGGAGCACGCAAGGGGGUUGUGGAUACUGCUGUACGAACAUCAGAUGCUGGAUAUCUGACGCGCAGACUUGUUGAAGUAGUUCAACACAUUGUUGUACGUAGAACGGAUUGUGGCACCACCAAAGGGUUUUCAGUGAGUCCUCUAAAUGGGAUGAUGUCGGAAAAAGUUUUUAUUCAAACAUUGAUUGGGCGUGUACUAGCAGACGAUAUAUAUAUGGGCCCGCGAUGCAUUGCCAUUCGAAAUAAAGAUAUUGGUAUUGGACUUGUCAAUCGAUUCUUAACCUCUCGAAUACAGCCAAUAUCUAUUCGAACUCCCUUUACUUGUAGGAGUAUAUUUUGGAUCUGUCGAUUCUGUUAUGGACGGAGUCCUACUCAUGGCGACCUGGUCGAAUUGGGCGAAGCUGUAGGUAUUAUUGCGGGUCAAUCUAUUGGAGAACCGGGUACUCAACUAACAUUACGAACUUUUCAUACUGGUGGAGUAUUCACUGGGGGUACUGCAGAACAUGUACGAGCCCCCGCUAAUGGAAAAAUCAAAUUUAAUGAGGAUUUGGUUCAUCCCACACGUACACGUCACGGACAUCCUGCUUUUCUGUGUUAUAUAGACUUGUAUAUAACUAUUGAGAGUGAAGACAUUCUACAUAAUGUGAAUAUUCCACCUAAAAGUUUUCUUUUAGUCCAAAACGAUCAAUAUGUAGAAUCCGAACAAGUGAUUGCUGAGAUUCGGGCAGGAACAUACACUUUCAAUUUUAAAGAGAAGGUUCGAAAACAUAUUUAUUCUGAUUCAGAGGGAGAAAUGCACUGGAGUACCAAUGUGUACCAUGCAUCUGAAUUUACAUAUGGCAAUGUUCAUCUCUUACCAAAAACAAGCCAUUUAUGGAUAUUAGCAGGAGGGUCGUGCAGAUCCAGUGUAGUCCCUUUUUCACUUCACAAAGAUCAAGAUCAACUGAACAUUCAUUCGCUUUCUGUCGAACGAAGAUAUAGUUCUAACCGCUCAGUGACUAAUGAGCAAGUGAAACAGAAACUCUUUCGUUCGGAUAUUUCUGGUAAAAACGAAGGCAAUCCUCCGAUUUAUUCAGAAUUAAAUAAAAUCAUAUAUACUGGUCGUUGCAAUAUACUAUAUCCUACUAUUCUCUAUCAGAAUUCUAAUUUAUUGUCAAAGAGGCGGAGCAAUAGAUUCAUCAUUCCAUUCCAGUCGAUUCAAGAACGAAACAAAGAAACAAUGCUCUAUUCAGAUUCCGAUAUCUCGGUUGAAAUACCCAUAAAUGGUAUUUUCCGCAGAAAUAGUAUUCUUGGUUAUUUCGAUGAUCCUGAAUACAGAAGAAACAGCUCAGGAAUUACUAAAUAUGGGACUAUGGAGGUGCAUUCAAUCGUAAAAAAAGAGGAUUUGGUUGAUUAUCGAGGGGCAAAAGAAUUUAAGCCAAGAUACCAAAUGAAAGUAGAUCGAUUUUUUUUCAUUCCCGAGGAAGUACAUAUUUUGCCUGGAUCUUCUUCCAUAAUGGUGCGGAAUAAUAGUAUCAUUGGAGGAGAUACACUAAUCACUUUUAAUAUAAGAAGCCGAGUAAGUGGAUUGGUUCGAGUGGAGAGAAAAAAAAAAAGGAUUGAACUUCAAAUCCUUUCUGGAGCUAUUUAUUUUCCUGAAGAGACAGAUCGGAUAGUCCGACACAGCAGCAUCUUAAUACCACCAGAAUCGGGAAAAACAAAUUCGAAGGAAUCAAAAAGGAAAUGGAAAAAUUGGAUUUAUGUCCAAGGGAUGACGCCGACCAAGACAAAGUAUUUUGUUUUGGUUCGACCUGUAGAAACAUAUGAAAUAGCAGACGGUAUAAAUUUAUCAACACUUUUCCCUCAGGACCCGUUGCAGGAAAGGGAUAACAUGAAACUUCGAGUUGUCAAUUAUAUUCUUUAUGGAAACGGCAAAGUCCUUUUUGGAAUUCCUGACACAAGUAGUCAAUUAGUUCGAACUUGUUUAGUAUUGAAUUGGAACCACGCUAAAAAAGGUUCUUCUAUUGGGGAGGCCCAUGUUUCCUUUGUUCAAGUAAGGACAAAUGAUCUGAUUCGCGAUUUUAUAAGAAUCGACUUAGUCACCUCCCCCCUUUCGUAUACCGGAAAAAGGAACGAUUCAUCCGGUUCAUGGUUUAUCUAUAAUACUGUAUCAAGUUGCACCUAUACCAAUCCGUUUUAUUCCAAGGCAUGGAUUCAACAAUCCCUUAUCCAAAAUCAAGUAACUAUUCGUACCUUGUUGAAUAGAAAUAACGAAUAUCAAUCUUUGCUAAUUUUGUCAUCAUCCAAUUGUUUUCAAAUGGGGCCAUUUAACAGUGUAAAAUAUCACAAUGGAAUAAAAGAAGCUCUUCAAAGAGACCUCAUAGUUUCAGUUAGUAAAUUGAAAUCAUUGGGUUCCUUAGGAACAGCCCUUCCAAUUAUGAAUUUUUACCAUUUACUAACCUAUAAUCAAAUCUUGGUAAUGAAAUAUUUUCAACUUGACAAUUUUAAGCAGACUUUUGAAAUAAUUCAAUAUUAUUUAAUGGAUGAAACUGGAAGGAUUUCGAAUCCCGAUCUAUGCAGUAAAAAAUUUUUGAAUCCAUUUCAUUUGAAUUGGUAUUUUAUCCAUUGUCAUUUUUGUGAAGAGAGAUCCACAAUAAUUAGUCUUGGGCAGUUUAUUUGUGAAAAUGCAUGUAUAGCAAAAAACAGGCCCCACCUAAAAUCGGGUCAAGUUUUAAUUGUUCAAGUUGAUUCUAUAAUGAUUCGAUCAGCUAAACCCUAUUUAGCCACGCCAGGAGCAACUGUUCAUGGGCAUUAUGGAGAAACCCUUUCUACGGGGGAUACUUUUGUUACAUUUAUAUAUGAAAAAUCAAGAUCUGGUGAUAUAACGCAGGGUCUUCCAAAAGUGGAACAAGUCUUGGAAGUACGUUCGAUUGAUUCAAUAUCGAUGAACCUAGAAAAGAGAGUUGAGGGUUGGAACGAGCAUAUAACAAGAAUUCUUGGAAUUCCUUGGGGAUUCUUGAUUGGUGUCGAGCUAACUAUAGUGCAAAGUCGUAUCUCUUUGGUUAAUAAGAUACAAAAGGUUUAUCGAUCCCAGGGUGUGCAGAUUCAUAAUAGGCAUAUAGAAAUUAUUGUACGUCAAAUAACAUCAAAAGUUUUAGUUUCAGAAGACGGAAUGUCUAAUGUUUUUUCACCCGGAGAACUAAUUGGAUUGUUGCGAGCGGAACGAACGGGGCGUGCUUUGGACGAAGCAAUCUGUUAUCGAGCUAUUUUAUUGGGAAUAACAAGAGCAUCUCUGAAUACUCAAAGUUUCAUAUCCGAAGCGAGUUUUCAAGAAACCGCUCGAGUCUUAGCAAAAGCUGCUCUACGGGGUCGUAUAGAUUGGUUGAAGGGCCUAAAAGAAAACGUUGUUUUGGGAAGUAUGAUACCCGUUGGUACGGGAUUCAAAGAAUUAGUACAUCGUUCAAGGCAACAUAACAACAAAAAGAAAAAUUUAUUUGAGGGGAAAAUAGAAAAUAUUUUGUUCCACCAUAGAGAUUUAUUUCAUUCUUACAUUUCAAAGAAUUCCCAUGAUACAUCAGAACAAUCAUUUCUAGGAUUUACUGAUUUUUAAGAGCGGAUUCGAUCCUUUUAACUAGUUUUUAACUAGUCUGUAGUUGAUCCGUCCAUUUAAUUUGGUUUGGUAAUUAAGUAAGAAAAAUAAUAAGGAAUACAAAUAGAAAGGAAUUAAUGCUUUGGAUUGUGUAUCAACGGCCAAUCUCCGGUACAGGUGAAGGUUCCAUCGGAACAAUUAUUUAUUUUAUUUCAGGGUACGUCGUCUCUUUUUUUUUUUAAAAAAAAAAAAAGAGAGGAAGUGUGGAGAGAAAUGACAAAAAGAUAUUGGAACAUCAAUUUGGAAGAGAUGAUGGAAGCGGGAGUUCAUUUUGGGCAUGGUACUAGAAAGUGGAAUCCGAGAAUGGCACCUUAUAUCUCUGCAAAGCGUAAAGGUAUUCAUAUUACAAAUCUUACUAGAACUGCUCGCUUUUUAUCAGAAGCUUGUGAUUUAGUUUUUGAUGCAGCAAGUAAGGAAAACCAAUUUUUAAUUGUUGGGACCAAAAAAAAAGCAGCUGAUUCAGUAGCUCGAGCUGCAAUAAGGGCUCGAUGUCAUUAUGUUAAUAAAAAAUGGCUCGGUGGUAUGUUAACGAAUUGGUCCACGACAGAAACACGACUUCAUAAGUUCCGGGAUUUAAGAAUGGAACAAAAAAUGGGGGGGAUCAACCGUCUUCCGAAAAGAGAUGCAGCUAUGUUGAAGAGACAAUUAUCGCACUUGCAAACAUAUCUGGGUGGAAUUAAAUAUAUGACAGGUUUAC
rnacentral:rRNA from 1 species